CAAUAGCGUAUAUUAAAGCUGUUGCGGUUAAAAAGCUCGUAGUUGGAUUUCUGUCAAGGACAACUGGUCCGCCCCUCGGGUGAGCACAUAGUUUGGUCUUGGCAUCUUGUUGGAAACUGUUGCUGCACUUGGUUGUGUGGCGCAGUGUCCAGCACUUUCACUUUGAGGAAAUUGGAGUGUUUCAAGCAGGCACAUGCCUUUGGACACAGUAGCAUGGAAUAAUUAGAUUGGGCUUUUGCUCCAACUUGUCGGUUUCUGGAGCUGAGGUGAGAAUUAAUGGGGAUUGUUGGGGGCAUCCGAAGUUAGCCGUCAGAGGUGAAAUUCUUGGAUCUGCUAAAGACGGACAACUGCGAAAGCGUUUGCCCAGGAUGUUUUCAUUGA
rnacentral:rRNA from 1 species